UCUUGAGUUGCACCAUAUUAUCCUAAAAGCCCAACCUUGUCUGAUUUGGGAAGCUAAGCAAGAUCAAGCAUGGCUUUAACUUGGAUGGGAGACCAUAAAAACAUACCAAGGACCUCCAGGA
rnacentral:rRNA from 1 species